rnacentral:rRNA from 1 species
GGUUAAGCGACUAAGCGUACACGGUGGAUGCCCUGGCAGUCAGAGGCGAUGAAGGACGUGCUAAUCUGCGAUAAGCGUCGGUGAGGUGAUAUGAACCGUUAUAACCGGCGAUUUCCGAAUGGGGAAACCCAGUGUGUUUCGACACACUAUCAUUAACUGAAUCCAUAGGUUAAUGAGGCGAACCGGGGGAACUGAAACAUCUAAGUACCCCGAGGAAAAGAAAUCAACCGAGAUUCCCCCAGUAGCGGCGAGCGAACGGGGAGGAGCCCAGAGCCUGAAUCAGUGUGUGUGUUAGUGGAAGCGUCUGGAAAGGCGCGCGAUACAGGGUGACAGCCCCGUACACAAAAAUGCACAUGCUGUGAGCUCGAUGAGUAGGGCGGGACACGUGGUAUCCUGUCUGAAUAUGGGGGGACCAUCCUCCAAGGCUAAAUACUCCUGACUGACCGAUAGUGAACCAGUACCGUGAGGGAAAGGCGAAAAGAACCCCGGCGAGGGGAGUGAAAAAGAACCUGAAACCGUGUACGUACAAGCAGUGGGAGCCUCUUAAUGGGGUGACUGCGUACCUUUUGUAUAAUGGGUCAGCGACUUAUAUUCUGUAGCAAGGUUAACCGAAUAGGGGAGCCGAAGGGAAACCGAGUCUUAACUGGGCGUUAAGUUGCAGGGUAUAGACCCGAAACCCGGUGAUCUAGCCAUGGGCAGGUUGAAGGUUGGGUAACACUAACUGGAGGACCGAACCGACUAAUGUUGAAAAAUUAGCGGAUGACUUGUGGCUGGGGGUGAAAGGCCAAUCAAACCGGGAGAUAGCUGGUUCUCCCCGAAAGCUAUUUAGGUAGCGCCUCGUGAAUUCAUCUCCGGGGGUAGAGCACUGUUUCGGCAAGGGGGUCAUCCCGACUUACCAACCCGAUGCAAACUGCGAAUACCGGAGAAUGUUAUCACGGGAGACACACGGCGGGUGCUAACGUCCGUCGUGAAGAGGGAAACAACCCAGACCGCCAGCUAAGGUCCCAAAGUCAUGGUUAAGUGGGAAACGAUGUGGGAAGGCCCAGACAGCCAGGAUGUUGGCUUAGAAGCAGCCAUCAUUUAAAGAAAGCGUAAUAGCUCACUGGUCGAGUCGGCCUGCGCGGAAGAUGUAACGGGGCUAAACCAUGCACCGAAGCUGCGGCAGCGACACUAUGUGUUGUUGGGUAGGGGAGCGUUCUGUAAGCCUGUGAAGGUGGCCUGUGAGGGUUGCUGGAGGUAUCAGAAGUGCGAAUGCUGACAUAAGUAACGAUAAAGCGGGUGAAAAGCCCGCUCGCCGGAAGACCAAGGGUUCCUGUCCAACGUUAAUCGGGGCAGGGUGAGUCGACCCCUAAGGCGAGGCCGAAAGGCGUAGUCGAUGGGAAACAGGUUAAUAUUCCUGUACUUGGUGUUACUGCGAAGGGGGGACGGAGAAGGCUAUGUUGGCCGGGCGACGGUUGUCCCGGUUUAAGCGUGUAGGCUGGUUUUCCAGGCAAAUCCGGAAAACCAAGGCUGAGGCGUGAUGACGAGGCACUACGGUGCUGAAGCGACAAAUGCCCUGCUUCCAGGAAAAGCCUCUAAGCAUCAGGUAACAUCAAAUCGUACCCCAAACCGACACAGGUGGUCAGGUAGAGAAUACCAAGGCGCUUGAGAGAACUCGGGUGAAGGAACUAGGCAAAAUGGUGCCGUAACUUCGGGAGAAGGCACGCUGAUAUGUAGGUGAAGCGACUUGCUCGUGGAGCUGAAAUCAGUCGAAGAUACCAGCUGGCUGCAACUGUUUAUUAAAAACACAGCACUGUGCAAACACGAAAGUGGACGUAUACGGUGUGACGCCUGCCCGGUGCCGGAAGGUUAAUUGAUGGGGUUAGCGGCAACGCGAAGCUCUUGAUCGAAGCCCCGGUAAACGGCGGCCGUAACUAUAACGGUCCUAAGGUAGCGAAAUUCCUUGUCGGGUAAGUUCCGACCUGCACGAAUGGCGUAAUGAUGGCCAGGCUGUCUCCACCCGAGACUCAGUGAAAUUGAACUCGCUGUGAAGAUGCAGUGUACCCGCGGCAAGACGGAAAGACCCCGUGAACCUUUACUAUAGCUUGACACUGAACAUUGAGCCUUGAUGUGUAGGAUAGGUGGGAGGCUUUGAAGUGUGGACGCCAGUCUGCAUGGAGCCGACCUUGAAAUACCACCCUUUAAUGUUUGAUGUUCUAACGUUGGCCCGUAAUCCGGGUUGCGGACAGUGUCUGGUGGGUAGUUUGACUGGGGCGGUCUCCUCCUAAAGAGUAACGGAGGAGCACGAAGGUUGGCUAAUCCUGGUCGGACAUCAGGAGGUUAGUGCAAUGGCAUAAGCCAGCUUGACUGCGAGCGUGACGGCGCGAGCAGGUGCGAAAGCAGGUCAUAGUGAUCCGGUGGUUCUGAAUGGAAGGGCCAUCGCUCAACGGAUAAAAGGUACUCCGGGGAUAACAGGCUGAUACCGCCCAAGAGUUCAUAUCGACGGCGGUGUUUGGCACCUCGAUGUCGGCUCAUCACAUCCUGGGGCUGAAGUAGGUCCCAAGGGUAUGGCUGUUCGCCAUUUAAAGUGGUACGCGAGCUGGGUUUAGAACGUCGUGAGACAGUUCGGUCCCUAUCUGCCGUGGGCGCUGGAGAACUGAGGGGGGCUGCUCCUAGUACGAGAGGACCGGAGUGGACGCAUCACUGGUGUUCGGGUUGUCAUGCCAAUGGCACUGCCCGGUAGCUAAAUGCGGAAGAGAUAAGUGCUGAAAGCAUCUAAGCACGAAACUUGCCCCGAGAUGAGUUCUCCCUGACUCCUUGAGAGUCCUGAAGGAACGUUGAAGACGACGACGUUGAUAGGCCGGGUGUGUAAGCGCAGCGAUGCGUUGAGCUAACCGGUACUAAUGAACCGUGAGGCUUAACCUU